CUUUUUUGUUGCUUUCUUAAAAUCAGUUUACUCGGGCUUAACGCGUUUUGCAAAUGGGCUCCUCAUUUUAUUACGAAAUUCGACAAUAUCGCAGGUUCUUUUAUUUGUUUACUUUUAAUUUGUUUUAAAUUUAAUUUGAUAAAUUGUACUAUUUUUUUGUGUGUAUGGUUGCUCUGAGAAGUCCUGACGACAGUAUCAUCUUUAUCCACGACCAUCACGGGCAUUUGCAGGAAGACCACAACAAAGAAAAGAUUUUUACGAUGUUUACGUGUCAUUAUUAUGAGUAAAAAAAAGGAAAACGAGAUUAUUGCUGCAACAGUGUACAAUUACAGAACUGUGAACCUAAUAGCCUAUCUUUUUAUAAAAUUUAUAUAUUGAAAAAUAACAUGGUAAUACUUAAUAUUUUUUAACAUUGGUUUUCGUUCAAAUAUAAAAAUAAAAAAUUUCUUUAAUAUGGCAUUUCUUAAUACUUUUUUUCAAUUAUUUUUUUUUAACUUUAGCCGCCAUUAAAAGUCUAAAGUCACAGAGAUUUGUAUCACUAAUAAAAAAAAAAGAAAGUGUGAUUAGUUCACAUAGUUCACGCAAACUUCAUCUUAAACCGUUCAGAAUUAGGAAAAGUUUACUUACAUGAACAAAACUUCUGCCAUUCAUGUUGAAACUAAAAGAACUUAAUUAAAUGUAUGGUCUACUGGAAGGAUAUAAUACUCCAAGUGUUUUUAUGCAACCAAGUUUCUCGCUAGCAGGGUUGUAGUCGAGGUUGUAUUUGUAGUGUUUUAGACUUGUAUUUUCAGCCAAGUAUUUAUUCAUAUUGUUUUUGAGUUUUUCUAAAUGAGCGUCCAGCAUAUAAAGUUCAAAGGACAUUCUGCAUUCUAAAGUGCCGAAGGUUUUAAUUAAAUUUUGGAUCAAAAACGAAGAAUAUCAGAAUGAAAGAAAGAAGAAAUCGAGUUAGAAAAAUAGCAUAAAGAAAACUGGCAGAUAUUGCGCUUAAUUUUUAGUGUGCAAAGUUAUACAACUAAUCGGGUAUAACAAAUUAAUGUUAGUUAAAACAAAUUAAAUUUAGUUAUAAUAUUAUCAAGAAAUGUAGAAAAGUUGUUAAUCUUUUUGAUUGUUUAUUGUUGGAAUUAAGCGAUUUUGAA